rnacentral:rRNA from 1 species
UACAGAGGGUGCGAGCGUUAAUCGGAAUUACUGGGCGUAAAGAGCUCGUAGGCGGUUUGUCGCGUCUGCUGUGAAAUUUCGGGGCUCAACCCCGAACUUGCAGUGGGUACGGGCAGACUAGAGUGUGGUAGGGGAGACUGGAAUUCCUGGUGUAGCGGUGAAAUGCGCAGAUAUCAGGAGGAACACCGAUGGCGAAGGCAGGUCUCUGGGCCAUAACUGACGCUGAGAAGCGAAAGCAUGGGGAGCGAACAGG